CUGGAGGUUGUUGCGGUGUGUGGCUUCCAUCUCGCCCUCGCCUGCUGAUCCGCUCUCUCCCUGGGUCGGCUGUGCUACCACUCCUGGGAUUGUUUUGGAGUUGCAGCGCUUGGACGCUCUGCUGUCUUGUCUUGUCUUGCUGGUGUUUGUUUGGGCCGCUCUGAAGGCAACCUGUUGCUGAUUGGACAGGCUGAGCGAGGGGGCACGACUCCUCUGGCCCAUCUGAAAGGCAUUGAAAUUGGACAACGACGAUUUGUUCCACCGUUUGAAAGUGUUUGUGUUUUUUUUUUCUUUUACAGUUUGUUUGCUUAUUAUUGAAAUUCCUAAUGAGUUUGCUUUCUUUUAUUUUGAUUUACUAAUUUGUUUUCUUUUGCAUUACAUGUUUUGUUUGUUCAUUUAUUUUUUUGGAAUAAUUCAAAUUGUCAUUUUAUUUCACAUGAUCCCUUUUCCUUUCCAGGGACAGAGUAGUAGGCCUGAAGCAAUGCUUUUAAAAAGAAAUGUUUUAAUGACAUUGUUUAAAUAAAAUAUUGUGAACUA